rnacentral:rRNA from 1 species
CAGCCGCCGCGGUAAUACGAAGGGGGCUAGCGUUGUUCGGAUUUACUGGGCGUAAAGCGCACGUAGGCGGAUUCUUAAGUCAGAGGUGAAAUCCCAAGGCUCAACCUUGGAACUGCCUUUGAUACUGGGGAUCUUGAGUCCGGGAGAGGUGAGUGGAACUGCGAGUGUAGAGGUGAAAUUCGUAGAUAUUCGCAAGAACACCAGUGGCGAAGGCGGCUCACUGGCCCGGAACUGACGCUGAGGUGCGAAAGCGUGGGGAGCAAACAGGAUUAGAUACCCCUGUAGUCCCUGUCUCUUAUAC